AUUGAACGCUGGCGGCAUGCCUUACACAUGCAAGUCGAACGGUAACGGGCCUUCGGGUGCCGACGAGUGGCGAACGGGUGAGUAAUGCAUCGGAACGUACCUUUCAGUGGGGGGUAACGUAGCGAAAGUUACGCUAAUACCGCAUCUUCUGUGAGCAGGAAAGCAGGGGAUCGCAAGACCUUGCGCUGAUUGAGCGGCCGAUGUCAGAUUAGCUAGUUGGUGAGGUAAAGGCUCACCAAGGCGACGAUCUGUAGCGGGCCUGAGAGGAUGAUCCGCCACACUGGGACUGAGACACGGCCCAGACUCCUACGGGAGGCAGCAGUGGGGAAUUUUGGACAAUGGGGGCAACCCUGAUCCAGCCAUGCCGCGUGAGUGAAGAAGGCCUUCGGGUUGUAAAGCUCUUUCGGCCGGGAAGAAAUCGCACAGGCUAAUACCUUGUGUGGAUGACGGUACCGGAAUAAGAAGCACCGGCUAACUACGUGCCAGCAGCCGCCUAAAAC
rnacentral:rRNA from 1 species